GCAAUUUUUUUUCCCAGUUAAUUUAGACUUAUUUCUCGUGGCCUCAUGAUAGAGUUUGGAAUGUUCGUGUGUAGGUUCAGCAUAAAAACUUCAAGAAACACUUCAACAGAUUACAUAAUUCCUCAUAGUCAGUGUUCCUUGAAAGGACAAAGCUGCCAGAAAGCCAAAACAUUUCUGAUCAUUAUUUCUGAUAAUCGUCGAGGCGGGCAAUCAAGCAAUAAAAAUAUAACUGGGCCAGGAUGCUAGUAAUUCAAUGAAAAUGCCUAUCGUUAAUACAGACAAGUGCACCAGAAUGUUAUAAUGAGGCAACAAUUCAAACACUGAAGAAUCAAGUCAUCUUUCCCUGUGCUAAUUAGGACAUUAGUAUGCAAUAAAUUUUAUUACAGCAAUGAGGAAAGUACAAUUCAAAGGCUUUCAAAAUAUAUUCGCUCCUUCAGUUGUCAGAGACCCAAGACCAAAUAACCACUAUUCGUGAAGACGGAGACUGGAAGGAUUUAACAUUUUGUCAAUCCAUGAAUAACAGGGUCAGCCACACACAAAAACAGGGGAAUACAAUAGUGCUGUAUUUGUGAAACAGUGUCUGGCAGCGAGAAAUUCAACACCAGUCGGAAGCCCAGACCUUCAGGUAGAGAAGCAUUUCUGAUCAAAGCAGACCUUGAUAUUGAAGCAUGGUGUAAAUGAGUUAGUUGACUGGGACACGGAUUUGUUGUUAAAUUAAAAAUCCAUUGAUCAUCUAAAGAUA